rnacentral:rRNA from 1 species
AGAGUUUGAUCCUGGCUCAGGAUGAACGCUGGCGGCGUGCCUAACACAUGCAAGUCGAACGAAGCACCUUUUAAGAUUCUUCGGAUGAUUGAUUGGUGACUGAGUGGCGGACGGGUGAGUAACGCGUGGGUAACCUGCCCUGUACAGGGGGAUAACAGUUGGAAACGGCUGCUAAUACCGCAUAAGCGCACGAGAGGACAUCCUCUUGUGUGAAAAACUCCGGUGGUACAGGAUGGGCCCGCGUCUGAUUAGCUGGUUGGCAGGGUAACGGCCUACCAAGGCAACGAUCAGUAGCCGGUCUGAGAGGAUGAACGGCCACAUUGGAACUGAGACACGGUCCAAACUCCUACGGGAGGCAGCAGUGGGGAAUAUUGCACAAUGGGGGAAACCCUGAUGCAGCAACGCCGCGUGAGUGAAGAAGUAUUUCGGUAUGUAAAGCUCUAUCAGCAGGGAAGAUAAUGACGGUACCUGACUAAGAAGCUCCGGCUAAAUACGUGCCAGCAGCCGCGGUAAUACGUAUGGAGCAAGCGUUAUCCGGAUUUACUGGGUGUAAAGGGUGCGUAGGUGGCAGUGCAAGUCAGAUGUGAAAGGCCGGGGCUCAACCCCGGAGCUGCAUUUGAAACUGCAUAGCUAGAGUACAGGAGAGGCAGGCGGAAUUCCUAGUGUAGCGGUGAAAUGCGUAGAUAUUAGGAGGAACACCAGUGGCGAAGGCGGCUUACUGGACGGUAACUGACGUUGAGGCUCGAAAGCGUGGGGAGCAAACAGGAUUAGAUACCCUGGUAGUCCACGCC